GACGAACGCUGGCGGCGUGCUUAACACAUGCAAGUCGAACGGAAAGGCCUGCUUUCCCUUGUGGAUUGCGGGUACUCGAGUGGCGAACGGGUGAGUAACACGUGAGUGAUCUGCCCCCAACUUGGGUAUAAGCCUGGGAAACUGGGUCUAAUUCCCGAUAGGACUGCAGGGUGGUGCCUGUGGUGGAAAACGAUUUUCUAGUGGUUGGGGAUGAGCUCGCGGCCUAUCAGCUUGUUGGUGGGGUAAUGGCCUACCAAGGCGGCGACGGGUAGCCGGCCGGGGAGGGUGGACGGCAACAUUGGGACUGAGAUACGGCCCAGACUCCUACGGGAGGCAGCAGUGGGGAAUAUUGCACAAUGGGCGGAAGCCUGAUGCAGCGACGCCGCGUGGGGGAUGACGGCCUUCGGGUUGUAAACUCCUUUCGACCGCGAGGAAGCCACCUGGUUGGAAGGGUGGUGACGGUAGUGGUAGAAGAAGCACCGGCUAACUACGUG
rnacentral:rRNA from 1 species